UGGGGAAUAUUGCACAAUGGAGGGAACUCUGAUGCAGCGACGCCGCGUGAACGAAGAAGGCUUUCGAGUCGUAAAGUUCUUUUAUAUGGGAAGAUAAUGACGGUACCAUAAGAAAAAGCCCCGGCUAACUACGUUCCAGCAGCCGCGGUAAUACGUAGGGGGCUAGCGUUGUCCGGAAUCACUGGGCGUAAAGGGUUCGCAGGCGGAAAUGCAAGUCAGGUGUAAAAGGCAGUAGCUUAACUACUGUAAGCAUUUGAAACUGCAUAUCUUGAGAAGAGUAGAGGUAAGUGGAAUUUUUAGUGUAGCGGUGAAAUGCGUAGAUAUUAAAAAGAAUACCGGUGGCGUAGGCGACUUACUGGGCUCAUUCUGACGCUGAGGAACGAAAGCGUGGGUAGCAAACAGG
rnacentral:rRNA from 1 species